rnacentral:lncRNA from 1 species
UUUUAUUUUACUCCAUGAAGGAAGGACUACAAAAUGGGGAAGGUUUGAUACAGGGCAGCCAUAAUCCCUUGAGCAUACCAGCACAUACACAGGAGCCCUGCCCAGUUGCUAUGCCAACCCUGAUGGUCCUAGACAGAAGACCAUCAAGGUCACAAAGGACUUGCAUAUGGGAGUGGAUUCAACACGGACUGGAACAAAGGACAAUGAUCAGAUCUUCCCUCUGGGGGCAGGAAACUGCCAGCUCCCCUUUGUCCUCUGGAAAUGACUCAUGGGGAGGGGGAGAGGCGGAACCAGCCAGGUGACAAGAUACUCAGGUUACCUCCACAACUCCUCCCUCAACCCCUCCUUUUUGUGAUGUGUCAAUGAUGUAGUCAUGAUGUAGUUGUGAUGUGGUUCUAGGGGUGUAGUUUGGGGGAUUAGUAACUAAUAAAAGUUAGGGUCUUCUUUUGUUCUGUGCUUCCAUUUUGCUUCAUCUUGUUGCGGGUGGGAGUCCUGUCGCGACAGUAUCCAAUAAAGUCCAAGCCUACAGGCUGCUGUUUUGCUCCAAGUUAUCCUGGUUGGUGUCUUUGUUUUUGUCCAAGGGAGCCCUCGGAUUUCUCCGUUAACAGGGAUAUGCAGUGUUCCAGCUACCGCACCCCAGCACAGGAGUGGAGAGAGCUGGAAAUGCUAGUUGCACUUGUUUGCAUAUGUCUCUCUUUGUUGGAAGUGUAUAUAUGACUGUAGACCUGCAUGUUUGUGAGAGUGAGAAAGUGCUGCUUGUGCUGUAUGUGCAAACCCUCAAACAUCUCUUGAGAUGUAGCUGCGAGAAUAUUGCUAGCAAAGAAUUGGAAGAAACAAGAUUUACCAACUAUCGAAGAAUGGCAGAUGAAGAUGAUGGACUAUAUGGAACUUGCCGAACUGACCGGGAGACUUCUAGACCAGAGAGAAGAGACGGUGGAAGAAGACUGGAAGAAGUUUAAGGAAUAUUUGAAAAAAAUAUGUUAAUAUUUAAAUCUUAGAAUAGCUUUGGAAGUGGAUAUAGGCUGUAGGGUUAGAAGUAGAAGGCAGUGUAUUUUACAAUGGUAUUAUUUGUAAGUGAUAAAUGUGAAGUUAUUUUAAGUGUGAUUAAAAAAAAGAUGGUUAGAAACUAUAAUAUAUGUAAACUGCUAAAGAUGAAGUAAAUUGAAAAUCAGAUAGGUGGGACUUGGGGAAGCCCACUUAACAAUGUUUAGAAAAAUAAGGAUAUGACAAGAAUUUGUAUUGUUUGUUUUUCUGUUUGUGUUCUUUAUUAAAAUGAAUAAUUUUUUUUUGGAAAAAAACAUCUCUUGAGAUGAAAACAGGGACAUUCUAGUCUACAUCAGUGUCCCUACCACCACCACGUCAUCAUCUGUGUAUGCACACUGCCAGUGGAAUCAUAGCUGUCAACUUACAGAUUUGAAAAUAAGGGACCAGCAGCCUCGAAAAUAAGGGAUCAGCAGCCAAAAUAAAGGAUUUUCAGAGCACAGGUAUGUUCAACUUCUGAGCCCCUCAGAGCCAAAGGCAGAAAGCCCAGCCAGCAGCCAAACAAAGCCUCAAGCGGUGGUUCCCACAGUGCAGCAACCUGGCAAAUGGGAUGCAGUAAGGAAAACCACCGCCACCUCUCCGCUGGGAAGCGCUGAGCAAAGGUGAGUCCCCAGGCAAUGCGGCCAAUUUGAUCGGUACAAGGCAUGCAAACUCCACCCCCUAGUCGUUCUUAGACUCCUUAUUGGGUGAGCAACACAGCCAAGCAACACAGUUGGAGCCUCCCUCCUCCCUGGCCGGCAGGGAGGGAGGGAAAGGAGCUGCUUCCUUUGAACCCUGGAAAUUUAAGGGACCUCAUCAAUAAGGAACAGCAGCGGGACACGACACUGGGAUAAGGGACUUUCCCGCCAAAUAAGGGACAGUUGACAGCUAUGAAUGGAAUACGGGAAAAGGGUGGGGCUGGCUGAGCUGACCCAAUGGCUGUUACCAAGAGGAGUAUGUAACAAUAACAUACUAGCAAAUGUCUUGGUUAUAUAUGAUAAAACCAUGAGGCUUCCAUCAGCCCACUUCGGACAUCAGAGGAGGCAUCUGCAGCAACAUAGUCUGAGUGGUCAGUGGCUACAGCCUUACUUCCGUCUUGAUUGCCACACCCUCAACUGACUAAAUUCCAAUUUCAGGCUAAUCCCCUUGAGUUUAGUUGGACCAUUCUAGAAUGGCUUGUGUAAAUCUGGUCUGGAAGCAACGAUAUCUUAUAUGGAAACAUUUAACAUACCCAAGAAGAAAGUUUUCCCCUCAACAGACUUAGAGGGCAUUGUAACUUUAUGUAAUGGUUGGACAAUGACGUUAAGCCAGAAGACAAUAGGUGCACAAUAAUAAUAAGUAAUCCCACUGUUAUUGAAAACCCAAUCUGAGAUGUUAAAAUUGGAAUCAUGCAUCCAGUUGUUAUUUCUAUGUGAUGAAUGUCUGGUUUGCCCUAAGCUGCUGAACUAUUAAUUCUGAGUGCUUCCACCAUUGUUCUUAUGCCUGUAGAUACUGCUGCAAAGAAGAUUAGAAGCUUUAUUGCUUAAACAGAAAACUCUGAAAUGGUACAAUAGGUGAAAGAUAAGUCUGUGUACAACAAAAGGCAAAUUUGCAUGGACUUAUUUUAACUGAACAUUUGACCUACAGCUUAAACAAUUAAAAAACCACCAAAAAACCCAAACCAGAACACCACUGAAAACAGUAAUCUAAAAGUUAAUAUAUUGAAAACUACUUUUCCCCCCUUGAAUCUUAACUCUCAAUUAUAUUUUUAAUUAAAAGUUGAUACUUUUAAGACUGUGUUUGGCACUUGUCCACACUAUUGGAAAGUAAUAACCUUUUCCCAUCAAAAAAAUCCGAAGAUCUCAGUAUGUUUUUACUCUGUGGUUAUCACCACUUUCUUCCACAAACUAUAUAAAUUUAACCUGUCCCAUCUCUUCAAGUACUUUCAACACAUCCAUCUCUAUUUUCACCCAAGCUUUAUUUUAUAUAGAGUUGCUGUUGAAUUUCACCUACAGCUGGAAUCUGUAGGCCUUUCUAGGACAACCCCACCCCCCAAAAAUGUUGAGAAGUUGAAAGCUAUCACAUAUCAAAAACAUUACUAUCAUGCAUGUGUGAUAGGGGAUGACGCCCCUGCAUGGGUUAUUCUAUGUGUGUCAUCUUUGUAUACAUCCAUAGUAAGGUAUUCAUGGACCAAUUUAAGAAUUGGCUCUAGAAACAUCGCCAACUGUAUCACUAGAUCUCUAAAGGGUGUUGCUGAGCUUUGUUUUCCUGAAGUAAAGAAGAAAUCCAGUACAUGGAACAUCAAAGAAAUCUACUCCUGAGGAAACACUGGACACGGCACAUGUAUCUAGAGUACCAAUGAAGCAGUCAGGUGCUUUUCCCUAAGUCCAGGGGCCACCAACCAUUUGCAAAGCAGAGAAAUUGUCAUGGCCACCACUGGCAACCUACAGGCAUUUUUGUGUAUGCAUAGACCCCUUGGAACCAAACACCCGUGUAAGAUGCAGUUGUGCUGUACGUAUUCAUAGCUCAGUUGGUAGAGCAUGCAACUCUUAAUCUCAGGGUUGUGGGUUUGAGCCCCACAUUGGGCAAAAUAUUCCUGCAUUGCAGGGGGUUGGGCUAAAUGACCCUUGUGUUUCCAACUCCACAGUUCUAUGAUAAUAUCCUAUUUUCCUCCCAUCACUGAACUAUGUACUUGAUAGACUUGAAGGCAGUGGAGUAAUGCAAUUUUGAGGGGGGCAUGCCACCAUAAGCCUGCCAAAGCAGUCAAUGUAAGGCUUGACUUAAGAUUUAUCUUAAUUGUACAUGACUUUUUCCAGCUGCUUUCUCCCAGUUUUCCUGCUAGAUCUUUAAGGAGGCAGUGAAAGAUCAGAACCUCGAUGAGUAAAGCAUGGGGAAAUUCUUCAAUCAACCUCCUAGGGUGUGGAGUAGUCCAGGGAUAGCCAAUAUGAUGUCCUCCAGCUAUUUUGAACUCCCACCAGUCCCAGCCAGCAUGGUAAUAGUAGCUUUAAUCCACCAGGAUCUGGUAGAUCCACAGGCUCAGGGCCAUAUCUUAUGAAACAAUAAUUCAGGUAGAUAAUUCUGGGUGAUUAAUUACUCUUCUGUUUUUCCUGUUUUCAGUGCCUCUGUACUCGUUCGCAUUUAGGUCCAGAUAUAGAAUUAAAAAAUUCUGCUCCCCUCACCCCCCAAAAAUUCUCAUUAACCUCAGCAGGUCACUUGAUUCCGUGGCAUUCGGCUCUCCAAGAAGG